GAUGAACGCUGGCGGCGUGCCUAAUACAUGCAAGUCGAGCGAACAGACGAGGAGCUUGCUCCUCUGACGUUAGCGGCGGACGGGUGAGUAACACGUGGAUAACCUACCUAUAAGACUGGGAUAACUUCGGGAAACCGGAGCUAAUACCGGAUAAUAUAUUGAACCGCAUGGUUCAAUAGUGAAAGACGGUUUUGCUGUCACUUAUAGAUGGAUCCGCGCCGCAUUAGCUAGUUGGUAAGGUAACGGCUUACCAAGGCGACGAUGCGUAGCCGACCUGAGAGGGUGGUCGGCCACACUGGAGCUGAGACACGGUCCAGACUCCUGCGGGAGGCAGCAGUAGGGAAUCUGCCGCAAUGGGCGAAAGCCUGACGGAGCAACGCCGCGUGAGUGGUGAAGGUCUUCGGAUCGUAAAACUCUGUUAUUAGGGAAGAACAAAUGUGUAAGUAACUAUGCACGUCUUGACGGUACCUAAUCAGAAAGCCACGGCUAACUACGUG
rnacentral:rRNA from 1 species